rnacentral:rRNA from 1 species
GAUGAGCGCUGGCGGCGUGCCUAAUACAUGCAAGUCGAGCGAACAGACGAGGAGCUUGCUCCUCUGACGUUAGCGGCGGACGGGUGAGUAACACGUGGAUAACCUACCUAUAAGACUGGGAUAACUUCGGGAAACCGGAGCUAAUACCGGAUAAUAUAUUGAACCGCAUGGUUCAAUAGUGAAAGACGGUUUUGCUGUCACUUAUAGAUGGAUCCGCGCCGCAUUAGCUAGUUGGUAAGGUAACGGCUUACCAAGGCGACGAUGCGUAGCCGACCUGAGAGGGUGAUCGGCCACACUGGAACUGAGACACGGUCCAGACUCCUACGGGAGGCAGCAGUAGGGAAUCUUCCGCAAUGGGCGAAAGCCUGACGGAGCAACGCCGCGUGAGUGAUGAAGGUCUUCGGAACGUAAAACUCUGUUAUUAGGGAAGAACAAAUGUGUAAGUAACUAUGCACGUCUUGACGGUACCUAAUCAGAAAGCCACGGCUAACUACGUG